rnacentral:lncRNA from 10 species
AGGGGCUGGCUGGAUUGCUGUUGGUUUUUCCCCUCCUGGUGGCUUUGCUUGGUUUGGGUUUAGUUUGGGAACAAACUUGUUUUAUAUCAACACUUCCUUCUACAUCGGGCGCCGUCGCCUCAACUGCGCGUGGGGGGCGAGGCGCCCACCCCGCACAAGAACAGAGGAGCGGGGGAGAAGAGACGGCCUCGCUGCUCACUGGGCCCCUUUGUGUGACUAAAUUUGGCAAGAAUAUGGAUCUGAGCCAGUCUUUCCACGUGUGCUCCCAGCUCCCAGCUGAGAAGGCCAAGGGUUCUCUUCCGGGAAAACCAGUUUGGCUAUUAAGGGAACCUGUCGACACAGAGCAGAGCAAGAUAAGGCCAGGUUUCAGAAAGAAUAGCUGUUUACCAUCAAAGCAACUGGGUUCCACACAGACAUGGUAUAUUAUACACAAAGACGAAGGAUAUGGGUCCACUCUCCGUCAAGGAAUGUUAUAAAUCCACGUGGUGUCCCUGGGUGUCAGGCUUGGCCAGAACAUCUGUGGCUGGAGAAGCCAAUGUGGCUCAGGAGCUCCCUGCUGGCUGCACAUCUGAACGGCUUCAGGAGUACAAGUUUCCCCAUCAAAGGUUUGGAAUAAAUUACACUAAAAAAUUGGCUCCAGAACGAGUUAUUUUGGACAGGACAAGGUGAAGCUCUCAUGAGGUGUGUUAAAUGCAUCCCUCUGUGCAGUGGGCAACUGCGGGAGAGCUGGAGGGGGUGGUCAAAGGCUGUGGGGAAAGUGGAGAAACUCUAACCCUGCACACACUUGGACAGAAAUGCCAAAUCUACUGACUGGACA